rnacentral:rRNA from 1 species
GAUGAACGCUGGCGGCGUGCCUAAUACAUGCAAGUAGAACGCUGAAGGAAGGAGCUUGCUCUUUCCGGAUGAGUUGCGAACGGGUGAGUAACGCGUAGGUAACCUGCCUGGUAGCGGGGGAUAACUAUUGGAAACGAUAGCUAAUACCGCAUAACAGUAGAUGUUGCAUGAUAUCUACUUAAAAGGUGCAAUUGCACCACUACCAGAUGGACCUGCGUUGUAUUAGCUAGUCGGUGAGGUAACGGCUCACCAAGGCGACGAUACAUAGCCGACCUGAGAGGGUGAUCGGCCACACUGGGACUGAGACACGGCCCAGACUCCUACGGGAGGCAGCAGUAGGGAAUCUUCGGCAAUGGACGGAAGUCUGACCGAGCAACGCCGCGUGAGUGAAGAAGGUUUUCGGAUCGUAAAGCUCUGUUGUAAGAGAAGAACGAGUGUGAGAGUGGAAAGUUCACACUGUGACGGUAGCUUACCAGAAAGGGACGGCUAACUACGUG